GACUUAGUUAAAAGCUAGAAUCGAUCGACACCAACAUAAUGAGAUCGAUCAACACCCGCCCUACAUCAUUGACCAUUACCCUAUCUAUAUUUUCGAUCACCACCCACUAUAUAGCAUCAUCUAUACCCACCCGACUGCAUCGAUCAACACCCAUUGUUGGACGAAUUGCAGAGUUGUGUGGUUGAGCUGGAACCGAUUGAGGAAUGAAUGCACCAACCUGAGAGCUCGCACCUUGCUAUCCCCGAACUUUUGAGAUGACCUAUAUGCGCAGAAGAAGCUGCUGAGAUUUACAAAAGAGUGAAAAAGAUACAUGACCCUGUGAAGUUUGUGGUUCCAUGCGCUGUGGUUGAAGUUGAAUUUCCUAUCCCACCAGAUAGAAGUGUGCAUUCUCCUACAAUUAGGUUCUUGAUGAUCAUAUGUAUGCAGUAGCUUCUCAGAGAUGGUUGAUAUUUAGAGGUGAAGUUGACAAAGGCUCAACCAAAGCAGCAUCAAUCGACACUACGAAUUCUUUAUCGAUUGACACCUGGCGCGUAUAAGAGCAGAAGAAGUUUGAAGUGUGUCAAAACAUUUUUGAUGGAGGCACCACCAUGCGAUCAGACAAGUUUGGGGGGGGGGGGAAAGAGAAAAAGGACUAAGGACAGUCCUCAGUUAUCAUUCAUUCUUCACUUCUCAAAUGGUAUCAGAAAAUCCAGAGUGCGCAACAGAUGCUUCUCACAGCCAUCUGGAAAGCUUCGAGCACUCCUUAUUGCUGAGAACAUAGACAAAGGAGAAGAGUCUAUGGAGGCUUUCACAAAAAAGUAUGAUGACGCUUUGGAAAGAAGGCACUGAGACUUGGUUUGGAGCAAGUUCUCAUUCUCAUCCGGGCUGAUUCAAAUCUCCAGAAAUCAAGCUAAUGACUGAAAAUAAGCGCUAAGUGUGAGGAAACCCACUAUUAGGUAAUUUCUUUAAAGCUUAGUUUAAUUUCAUAGGAGUUAAGUUGUCAUAUUCCCAAACAGGAAAAUUGGGAUCACUUUAUUUGAAAGUGUGAUAACUUCUUCAUUCUAACUCCUAUGUGAUUUAUUCAACUUCCUGGUGAUUCUCCACUACUUAAUUACUAUAUGUAUCAAAAUACAACUUCUUACAUCGCGAUUCAUCCUGGUAUGAUUAGAUUGAGAAAGAAGUCACAUUCCCAAAUAGGAAACAGGGAUCACCUUAUUUGAAAGUGAGAUAACUUCUUCAUCCUAACUUCUAUGAGAUUUAUUCAUAUUAAUUGUGGUUCUCCACUACUUCAUGUAUACAAAAUCAAGCUUCUACCCCGCGAUUUAUCCUGGUUUGAUUAGAAUGACGAAAAAGAUGUCAUAUUCCCAAACAUGAAAAUUGGGAUAAUAUUAUUUGAAAGUGGGAUAACUUCUUCAUCCUAACUCCUAUGAGAUUUAUUAAACUUCCUGAUGAUUCUCCACUACUAUAUGUAUCAAAAUACAGCUUCUUACAUCGCGAUUCAUCCUUGUUUGAUUAGAUUGACAAAGAAUUCAUAUUCCCAAACAAGAAACUUGGAUCACCUUAUUUGAAAGUGAGAUAACUUCUUCAUCCACACUCCUAUGAGAUUUAUUCAACUUCCAUGUGAUUCUCCACUACUAUAUGUAUCUAAAUCAAACGUUUUAUCCCGCGAUUAAUCCUGGUUUGAUUAGAAUGACGAAAACGAUGUCAUAUUCCCUAACUCCUACAGAUUUAUUCAACUUCCUGGUGAUGUCCACUACUUUAUAUAUCCAGAUCAAGCUUUUUACAUCACGAUUCAUCCAUGUUUGAUUAGAAUGACGAGGAAGUUGUCAUUUUCCCAAACAUGAAAAUUGGGAUCACUUCAUUUGAAAAUGGAAUAACUUCUUUAUCAUAACACCUAUGAGAUUUAUUAAAUUUCCAGAUGAUUCUCCACUAUUUAUGUAUCUUAAUCAAGUUUUUUACAUCACUAUUCAUCUUGGUUUGAUUAGAAUGAUGAAGAACUUGUCAUGUUCUCAAACAGGAAAACUUGGAUCACCUGAUAUGAAAGUCGGAUAACUUCUUCAUCCUAAGUCCUAUAAAAUUUAUUCAACUUCCUGGUGAUUCUCCACCACUUUAUAUAUCAAAAUCAAGCUUCAUAUCUCGCGCUUCAUCCUGGUUUGAUUAGAAUAACGAAAAAGUUGUCAUAUUCCCAAACGUGAAGAUUGGGACAUCUUAUUAGAAAGUGUGAUAACUUCUACAUCCUAACUCCUAUGAGAUUUAUUCAACUUCCUGGUGAUUCUCCACUAGUUUAUGUAUCCAAAUACAACUUCUUA